CUUAGAUAUUUUGCAUAAGGCAUUUUCUGGUAGACCUCUACCAAGAUUGUUCAAAUUAUAGCCCUGGGGUCAAAAUCGGCCCUGCCCCGGGGUCAUUGAUUUUCACUAUAUGUACAUCUAGUAAAAACUUAAAAUACCUUAUUGUAAAGACCCAAAUAGCCUAGAGCUUAGAUAUUUUGCAUAAGGCAUUGCCUGGUAGACCUCUACCAAGAUUGUUCAAAUUAUAGCCCUAGGGUCAAAAUCGGCCCCGCCCCGGGGGUCAUUGAUUUUCACUAUAUGUACAUAUAGUAAAAACUUUAAAAUACCUACUUGUAAAGACCCAAAAGGCCUAGAGCAUAAGGCAUUGUGUUGUAGACCUCUACCCAGAUUGUUCAAAUUAUAGCCCUGGGGUCAAAAUCGGCCCUGCCCCGGGGGUCAUUGGUUUUCGUUAUAUGUAUAUAGUAAAAACUUUAAAAAAAUUUCUUCUAGCAAUUGACAAAUGCUAGAGGUUAGAUAUUUUGCAUGAAACAUUGUGUAGUGAACCUCUAGCAAGAUUGUUCAAAUUAUAGCCCUGGGGUCAAAAUUGCCCCCGCCCCGGGGGUCAUUGAUUUUCAAAUAUAAUUAUACAUAUAGUAAAAAAUAAAAAAAUCUUAUUGUCUGUAGGUACAAGGUACAAGGCUUCAAAAACUUAAAAUACCUUCUUGUAAAUGCCCAAAAGGCCUAGAGCUUAGGUAUUAAUGCGGUGGCAUAGCAUUUUUCUCAAAUGCAAUCUUGUUUUUAUGGUUAAAAUAUUCAUCAUGUUUAAUUAUUUUCUAGGUUUGAGACAUUAUUAGUAACUUGAUUAACGUUCAAAAAUACCAUUUUAUUUCCUGUUCUUGAUUUGUUUAUAUACCUUUAACAAGAAGAUAGUUAUUUAUAUUUUUAGUUACAUUAUCAACUGUGUUCAUCAAACAUUUAUAAUGAUUACUUUUUUUAUAAUAAUAGCAAACAUAAAUAUAUUUAUCACAUUAACAAAAGGCACUGAAGUGUUAUUAAGCCAUUAAAUGGAAACAUUACGCUAGUAAAAAAGGGGGUCCUAUAUACUUUAUCAACUCUGCUACAUGUGCUAGCUAUAUAAGGAUUAUGACCUUUUCAAAUCAAAUCAAACUGUGCCAUAAUCUCAGGCUGUCUCCAAUUUUUUUUUACUAUUUUAUGUAAGACAAGAAGAGGUAAUAAUAUAGAGAUUUUGGGCUGAAAAUUUGCCUCCAUUGAUCUCAUAACUUCUGUAAAAUAAACAGAAAACAUAUCAGAAUUACUUAAAUUUAUAUCUGAUAUAUAUUUUUAGUCUACUUGACUUAACAAUUUUUUUUCCAGUGUUUGAUAAAAAUUUUUUUAGUUAUAUGUGUUCAAAGAUGUUAUUAAUGACUGUUUAAUAGUAUUGUUGAUUAUUUUUAAGUGAUAUGAAAUUUGAAUCUAUGUAAUAUUCUUAAUUUUAUUGUUAAUUCUAAAAAUAAAAAAUGCAUAAUUUCUUAAAGUGUUCAUAUUACAGAUGAAUUUUUUUAACAUCUUUGCUCAAACAUAUCUAUGUUAUAAAAUAUGGUUUAAGACAAGGCUAUAUAUAUAUAAAUGUUAAGUGUUGCAAAUUAUCUUUAUACUAAACUAGUUUAUUUCAUUUAAGUUAUAGCUUGAAGUCUUUUUUUCAAUGUGUCUUGUUAGACACCCCAGGUCUUAUAUCGGCCAAUAGAUAUUGGUAUAACACUUGCCAAUAAUUGAUUAGACAAUAGGUGCAACACUUGGUUUUGAUUGUGUGUGCAACUUCAAUUCUUAAUUGAUAUUAACAUAUUCUCUUAAAACUUCAAUCAUUAUUUCACAGAUUUUACCAAGGCCCAUACCUCUUGUAUGAGUUGUAUAUGAUUAUAAGAAAUAUUCUACAUUGUUUUUGAUUUUUCUAUCUAAAGCUGUAAAUGUUAGAGCCAAUUAUUUCUAUUAGCUCACUUUGCACAUUGUUCUUGUUUGACUAUCAAAAACUGUAAGUAUUUUAGUCAACUAUUUCUAUUAGCUCCCUUUGGAGUUUUGUGAUGUCAUUGAAGAACAUAUCUGUAUCUUUAUGCUUUAAGGGCUUCAUCCAUUGUGUUGAUGCCACAUUUGAAAUAAAACAUGCUUUUAUUUCUCAUACAUUUAGUAUAAAAGUCAUAAUAUAAUUUGAAUAUAUAUAUAUAUUUCAAAUGCCAAAGUGUUGUCUUCCAACUUUGGAGAAGUGUUUAGUUUGUAUAUAAAGUUAAUUGUUGGGAAAGGUGUAAUGUUGAUUAUAUCUAUUGAUUGUUUUUAUUCUUAAUUAAAUUUUGGUGAUGAUUCUUUUUUCUUGUUUUGAAAUGUUUCAUAUUUAUUGUUCAUAAUAAUUAUUGAAAAUGUUGAUAAAUGCACAGAGGAGCUAUUAGGGUUUUCAUCAAUUAGUAACAGCUUCCAAGUUACAGGUUACAUAAUACAAAUGAGGUAGAAGAACACAAACUAGGUAACAUAAUACAAACUAAGUUAUUGAACACAAACUGUGUUACAGAAUACAAACUAGAUAAUGGAACAUAAACUAGGAUACGAACACAAACUUUGUUAUGAAACACAAACUUGGUUUCAGAACACAUAACUAGGCUACAGAACACAAAAUAGUUUACAGAACACCAAAUAGGUUACAUUGCACAAACUAGGUCAUAGAAAAGCAAAAAAGGUUAUUGACUCCAGAACACAAGUUAUUUUACAGAACACACCACACACUCAGUUACAGAACACUUACUAGGUUGCAUGUUUCACAAUACAAAGUAGGUUAUAGAACACAGGGUAGAUCAUAGGUUUUAGAAUACAAACUAUGUUUCAAAAUACAAACUAGGUAUCAGAAUACAAAUUAAUGAUCGGAACACAAUCAUACAUUUGUACUAUAGUUUAUAAAACUCAAUCAUUUUAAGUUACAGAACACAAUUAUACAAGGUCACAUACCACAAUUGAAAUAUGUUACAAAACAUAAUUAUCCUAGGUAAAAGAAUCGAAUUGUAAAGUUAGAUUAGCUAGCUAUUAAUUUAAGUGUUAGGUGCUCGUGUAUAGCUUUUAUAUAAUUAUGCCCCCAUUUUGAAAAAAAGGGGGUAUAUUGCUUUGCACUUGUCGGUCCGUCGGUCCGUAGACCAAAUGGUUUCCGAGUGAUAACUAAAGAACCCUUAGGCCUAGGAACUUCAAACUUGGUAUGGUGAUUGGUCAUGACCAGUAGAUGACCCCUAUUGAUUUUGGGGUCAAGGGGUCAAAGGUCAAGGUCACAUUGACCUUGAAAGCAAAAACGGUUUCCGAUCAAUAACUAAAGAACCUUAAGGCCUAGGAACUUCAAACUUGGUAUGGUGAUUGGUCAUGACCAGUAGAUGACCCCUAUUGAUUUUGGGGUCAAGGGGUCAAAGGUCAAGGUCACAUUGACCUUGAAAGCAAAAACGGUUUCCGAUCAAUAACUAAAGAACCUUAUGGCCUAGGAACUUCAAACUUGAGAUGGUGAUUGGUCAUGACCAGUAGAUGACCCCUAUUGAUUUUGGAGUCAAGGGGUCAAAGGUCAAGGUCACAUUGACCUUGAAAGCAAAAACAGUUUCUGAUCAAUAACUAAAGAACCUUAAGGCCUAGGAACUUCAAACUUGGUAUGGUGAUUAGUCAUGACCAGUUGAUGACCCCUAUUGAUUUUUGGGGUCAAGGGGUCAAAGGUCAAGGUCACAUUGACCUUAAAAGCAAAAACGGUUUCCGAUCAAUAACUAAAGAACCUUAAGGCCUAGGAACUUCAAACUUGGUAUGGUGAUUGGUCAUGAUCAGUAGAUGACCCCUAUUGAUUUUGGGGUCAAGGGGUCAAAGGUCAAGGUCACAUUGACCUUGUAAGCAAAAACGGUUUCUGAUCAAUAACUAAAGAACCUUAAGGCCUAGGAACUUCAAACUUGGUAUGGUGAUUGGUCAUGACCAGUAGAUGACCCCUAUUGAUUUUGGGGUCAAGGGGUCAAAGGUCAAGGUCACAUUGACCUUGUAGGUAAAAACAGUUUCCGAUCAAUACCUAAAGAACCUUAAGGCUUAGGAACAUCAAACUUGGUAUGGUGAUUGGUCAUGAUCAGUAGAUGACCCCUAUUAAUUUUGGGGUCAAGGGGUCAAAGGUCAAGGUCACAUUGACCUUGUAGGUAAAAACGGUUUCCGAUCAAUAACUAAAGAACCUUAAGGCCUAGGAACUUCAAACUUGGUAUGGUGAUUGGUCAUGAUCAGUAGAUAACCCGUAUAGAUUUUGGGGUCAAGGGGUGAAAGGUCAAGGUCACAUUGACCUUGUAGGUAAAAACGGUUAUCGAUCAAUAACUAAAGAACCUUAAGGCCUAGGAACUUCAAACUUGGUAUGGUGAUUGGUCAUGAUCAGUAGAUAACCCGUAUAGAUUUUGGGGUCAAGGGGUGAAAGGUCAAGGUCACAUUGACCUUAAAAGCAAAAACGGUUUCCGAUCAAUAACUAAAGAACCUUAAGGCCUAGGAACUUCAAACUUGGUAUGGUGAUUGGUCAUGAUCAGUAGAUGACCCCUAUUGAUUUUGGGGUCAAGGGGUCAAAGGUCAAGGUCACAUUGACCUUGUAAGCAAAAACGGUUUCUGAUCAAUAACUAAAGAACCUUAAGGCCUAGGAACUUCAAACUUGGGAUGGUGAUUGGUCAUGACCAGUAGAUGACCCCUAUUGAUUUUGGAGUCAAGGGGUCAAAGGUCAAGGUCACAUUGACCUUGAAAGCAAAAACGGUUUCCGAUCAAUAACUAAAGAACCUUAAGGCCUAGGAACUUCAAACUUGGUAUGGUGAUUGGUUAUGACCAAUCAGAUGACCCCUAUUGAUUUUGGCGUUAAGGGGUCAAAGGUCAAGGUCACAUUGACCUUGUAGGUAAAAACGGUUUCUGAUCAAUAACAAAAGAACCCUUAGGCCUAGGAACUUCAAACUUGGUAUGGUGAUUGGUCAUGAUCAGUAGAUGACCCCUAUUGAUUUUGGGGUCAAGGGGUCAAAGGUCAAGGUCACAUUGACCUUGUAGGUAAAAACGGUUAUCGAUCAAUAACUAAAGAACCUUAAGGCCUAGGAACUUCAAACUUGGUAUGGUGAUUGGUCAUGAUCAGUAGAUAACCCGUAUAGAUUUUGGGGUCAAGGGGUGAAAGGUCAAGGUCACAUUGACCUUUUAAUUAAAAACAGUUUCUGAUCAAUAACAAAAGAACCCUUAGGCCUAGGAACUUCAAACUUGGUAUGGUGAUUGGUUAUGACCAAUCAGAUGACCCCUAUUGAUUUUGGCGUUAAGGGGUCAAAGGUCAAGGUCACAUUGACCUUGUAGGUAAAAACGGUUUCCGAUCAAUAAUGAAAGAACCCUUAGGCCUAGGGACUUCAAACUUGAGAUGGUGAUUGGUCAUGAUCAGUAGAUGACCCCUAUUGAUUUUGGGGUCUAGGGGUCAAAGGUCAAGGUCACAUUGACCUCUUAGGUAAAAACGGUUUCCGAUCAAUAACUAAAGAACCCUUAGGCCUAGGAACUUCAAACUUGGUAUGGUGAUUGGUCAUGACCAGCAGAUGACCCCUAUUGAUUUUGGGGUUAAGGGGUUAAAGGGCAAGGUCACAUUGACAUUGUACGUAAAAAUGCUUUCCGAUCAAUAACUUAAGAACCCUUAUGCCUAGGAACUUCAAACUUGGUAUGGUGAUUGGUCAUGACCAGCAGAUGACCUAUUGAUUUUGGGGUCAAGGGGUCAAAGGUCAAGGUCUCAUUGACCUUGUAGGUAAAAACGGUUUCCGAUCAAUUAACUAAAAACGCUUAGGCCUAGGAACUUCAAACUUUGUGUGAUGAUUGGUCAUGACCAGCAGAUGACCCUAUUGAGUUUUAGGUGAAGGGGUCAAAGGUCAAGGUCACAUUGACCUUUUAAGUAAAAACGGUUUCUGAUCAAUAAUUCAAGAACGCUUAGGCCUAGGAACUUCAAACUUGGUAUGGUGAUUUGUCAUGACCAGCAGAUUACUCCUAUUGAUUUUGGGAUCAAGGGGUCAAAGGUCAAGGUCACAAUGACCUUGUAAGUAAAAACGGUUUCUGAUCAAUAACUAAAGAACGCUUCGGCCUAGAAACUUCAAACUUGGCAUGGUGAUUGGUCAUGACCAGCAGAUGACCCCUAUUGAUUUUGGGGUCAAAGGUCAAGGUCACAUUGACCUUGUAUGUUAAAACGGUUUCCGAUCAAUAAUAAGAGAACCCUUAGGCCUAAGAACUUCAAACUUGGCAUGGUGAUUGGUCAUGACCAGCAGAUGACCCCUAUUGAUUUUGGGGUCAAGGGGUCAAAGGUCAAGGUCACAUUGACCUUGUAGGUAAAAACAGUUUCUGAUCAAUUUACUAAAAACGCCUAGGCCUAGGAACUUCAAACUUUGUUUGAUGAUUGUUCGUGACCAGCAGAUGACCCCUAUUGAGUUUUGGGUCAAGGGGUCAAAGGUCAAGGUCAUGACCAGUAGAUACUUUAUAACCCUUAUUAAUUGUUUGAUCACUGGGUCAGAAGUCAUGCAUAAUAACCUUAUCACAUGACUAAUUGGCUGCUGAUAGGGGGCAUACAUGUUUUACAAACAUAUCUUGUUUAUAUUUUUUUAUUAUUAUAAUCAAAUUUAUUAAGUUAAUUGUCUAGUCACUCUAAUUGUUUUUGUUAUUUUUAACCUGUUAUAUUAGUUUCUAUAAAUAUGUUAAUAUAUAUGUAAGCUUUAUAGCUGUAUAUAUACAUGUAUUUUGUACACCAUUUAGCUCACUGUAUAGAUAAUUUAUUUUAUCACUAUUCGUCAUUUAAAUUUGGCAAUUGUAGUUAUACAGAACUCAAAAGUUUCUGGUUAUUUUGAGGGAAAGGGUGGGUCGUAAUUAGCUUAAGUGAAGGUACAAACCAAGCUUAUUAUUUCCCUGUUAAAAAUAAUUGGAGUAAUUAGUAAUCCUAUGUUUGUACAGUAGCUUAUACUAGGUUAAUUGCUUAAGAUUUAAUGGUACACCUUUAUCGGUUAUUGCAUUAAAUACAUGUAGAAAUAGGGAGAAUGUAUAUUUAUAGAAUUUAUUAUAUACACGUAAUGACAAUCUUGAAUAGAACAGCAUUUUGUUUGAGUAUUUCUAUCUGAUUAUGUUUAGCAAGCUAAACAGAAAUAAUGUUAUUAAACCUCAAUUAUACCAUCUUUAGCAUAGAAACUGUAGAUGCUUUAUAUAUUGCUUACAAUAAAUUAAAUUUAAAAAAAAUACCUAUUUUUCAGGGGUAAAAAUUCAAAUAUUACAGCACCAAAAUAAAAUAAAGUAUUAUUACAGUCUAUGCGAGCGUCCAUGCUGAUUUUGACUUUUGACAACUUCUUUAACAAAAUAAACUUUUUUGUUUAGUUUGAGAAAUUUUGUGAAAUUAAAAAAAACAAAACAGAUAUGAUUUCUGAUAAGGAAUAGAAUAGUAAUUUCCUAUUCAACUAUUUGUGUAUUUUAACUACUGUAACAUUGUUAAAUAAGAUUGUAAAACAUGAUUUCUUAUCAUAAAGCCAUGUAGUGCAUGAUAAUAUAAAAUAUACCAGAUAUUUUAACAUUAAGGCAGAUGCUGUCACGUACUUUUCUUAUAUAAUGUUGCUAUGGCAAUGGAAGUUGGUCUUAAAGAGUUCCACUGAUGUAAAAAGUCUUAUAAACAUAUGAUUUAAAAUUCCUACAAUGAUCUUGUGCUGCACUUACCAAAAAAUCUGCAAUGGGUAAUAAAGAAAUAUAAUCAGUAUUAAAUGGGAUAUCGAUUUUUGUGGGAUUCUUACUUUGCCCAAUUUGAGUGAAAACCUAUUUGAGUGAAAUGCAUUGCAAUGCUUUUCAUUUUAGGGUCAUUAAAAAUGAUUAUGCUAAAAAAACGGGGUGGGGAAAUGAUCUGAAAAUUUGCAUACAGGUUAACUGCUUGUCCAAGCAACUGUUAUACAAAUAUCGGAAACAUAUUUUUCCCAGUCUCGUCAUGCCAAAACUGCCUCAGUGAUCUCCCUUUAGGAAUUAAAGCUUUGGAAAUGAGAAAAAAUUAACUUCCUUUUAAAAGCAUAUGCCAAAAUUUCAUUACCAAAUAGUUUGUUUCUUAUAUAGUUAAUUAUCUUUUGUUUAAAGUGAUUUAGUUAUAUGAUAUAACUAUUUUGAUGUUUAUCUGUUUGUUAAAGAGUUAUUGGUUGUAUUAUUUACAUAUUUUAUAUUGCUUUAACUUAUAUAUUCCUAUUGUUUCAGUUAUUUAUAUGCUUGAAUUAAAAAAAAGAAGUUUUCACUUUGUAUGGUUCGAAUACAGUCUAUGUUGUUUUUGCUGAUAUGUGUGUAAAUAUAUAAAUUCCAUGACGAAAGGUAAUACAAUGUACAAUGUAACACACGGCAGCUUGUGACAUAUCUAAUUAUCUAUGGCACUAAAUUAAAGCACCUGUCUGUAUUUUCCUUGUUACUUAUUGUAUUGUAAUGUUUAACUUCUAUAUAUUUAUCAUUUUACUGAUAAACAAUAUGUAAGGAGGAUAUGUUUUGAUAACAGCAAGUGUAUGACAUUUGAUAUUGUUUGGUAAUAUUUGAGUUACUUCCCUUACAAUACAGUUCAGAAUGUUUUACAGAGUUACUGCCUGUCUUUAUACCAGCUGAAAGCAUGCGCUUGGCGGGCAUUUUUCUUGGCAGGCAUUUUUCUGAUAGGACAGCUUUUGUAUAUAGCUCUAUGUACCAGUUUGAGUUGCUAGAUUCGUCGGUUUUUCUACUCUUGAUGUUACACCUUAGGUCUUCUUCCACCAAGCUGGAAAGUGUGUAGCGACGUAAAACCCCAACGAAAAACAAAUGCUAGAUUAGAUAAUAAAAACAAUGCAAGAGUAACGAUAUAUGGAAACAGCGUUUGUUUAUUAUUAAUAUCUAACAAUAUUUUAUGAGUGUUUAAUUAUAUUUAUAUAAUACCAUUUGAGAUCUUGCCUUACCUUUAUGCAUUUAACAUAACUAUAUAGAGUAUAACCACUUUUGUUCACAUGAUGUUGUCAACAAUAAAAAAUAAAAAUAUUUUAUUUUCAA